GAUUUGCUACCUGGGUCCACACGGGUUGACCCUAACAGCAGUAAGCAAGUCUCAGCUUCAAAUGUACAGAGAAGACUUCGAGCUGCAGGCAUGACAGGACGAGUUGAAGCAAGAAAGCCAUCGGACAUUUGUACGCCAUCAAGAAGGCAAAUUUUUGGUUCCACAGUGUGUGGCAUCAACUGUCAAACAUGGAGGAGGAAGUGCGAUGGUCUGGGGCUGUUUUGCUGGAUCCAGGUUCAGUGACUUGUACAGAGGGAGAGGCACCCUGAACCAAAACGACUACCACAACAUUCUGCAGCGGCAUGCAACACCCUCUGGUAUGAACCUAGUUGGUCAGGGGUUCAUCCUACAGCAAGAUAAUGACCCAAAACAUAAUUCCAAGCUUUGCCAGACUACCUCAGGAAAAAAAGAACAAGAUGGUAACCUUGAAAUCAGGGAGUGGCCAGCACAGUCUCCAGACUCAAACCUUUGGUUUGGGUUGGACUUGGCAGAAGAGUGAAACCAAAGCAACAUACAAGUGCCACUCAUUUAUGGGAACCUCUGCAUCAGAUAUGAGAAGAACUUUCUAAAAGAAUAUUCGAUAUUUUUUGUUUUAUUGUAGAAUGAAUCCCACGGGUGUGUUCAGCUGUUAUAUCUGUCAAAGGUGGCUGCUUUGAUGGGUCAAAAGUUUAGAAUACAUUUUGGUUCAUAAAUUGAUUCCAUGAUUUCUUUUUUUUAAACUCCAACUGCAUAUUUGUAAUAUUCAUUCGUUUCAUUUCA